rnacentral:rRNA from 1 species
UACGAAAGGGGCAAGCGUUGUUCGGAUUUACUGGGCGUAAAGGGCACGCAGGCGGUCUUGCCAGUCAGGGGUGAAAGCCCGGGGCUCAACCCCGGAACUGCCUCUGAUACUGCAAGACUAGAGACUAGGAGAGGGUGGUGGAAUUCCCAGUGUAGAGGUGAAAUUCGUAGAUAUUGGGAGGAACACCAGAGGCGAAGGCGGCCACCUGGACUAGAUCUGACGCUCAGGUGCGAAAGCGUGGGGAGCAAACAGG